UACGUAGGUGGCAAGCGUUGUCCGGAAUCAUUGGGCGUAAAGAGCGUGUAGGCGGCCAAUUAAGUCCUGCGUGAAAUCUCGGGGCUCAACCCCGAGCGGUCGUGGGAAACUGGUUGGCUAGAGUGCGGGAGAGGAGAGUGGAAUUCCUGGUGUAGCGGUGAAAUGCGCAGAUAUCGGGAAGAACACCCGUGGCGAAGGCGGCUCUCUGGAACGCAACUGACGCUGAGACGCGAAAGCGUGGGGAGCAAACGGG
rnacentral:rRNA from 1 species